ACAGAGGCUUCUUUAGAAGUCACCAACAGUUCCAGCUAUGCAAAAG
rfam:Monodelphis domestica chromosome 1, whole genome shotgun sequence.